rnacentral:sRNA from 1 species
GUAUCGCGCCCGGAAGGCGCCGGAGCCCAGCGGCUGGCGCCAGAUCCAGGCUCCUGGAAGAACCAUGUCCGGCAGCUACUGGUCAUGCCAGGCACACACUGCUGCCCAAGAGGAGCUGCUGUUUGAAUUAUCUGUGAAUGUUGGGAAGAGGAAUGCCAGAGCUGCCGGCUGAAAAUUACCCAACCAAGAGAAAUCUGCAGGAUGGACUUUCUGGUCCUCUUCUUGUUCUACCUGGCUUCGGUGCUGAUGGGUCUUGUUCUUAUCUGCGUCUGCUCGAAAACCCAUAGCUUGAAAGGCCUGGCCAGGGGAGGAGCACAGAUAUUUUCCUGUAUAAUUCCAGAAUGUCUUCAGAGAGCCGUGCAUGGAUUGCUUCAUUACCUUUUCCAUACGAGAAACCACACCUUCAUUGUCCUGCACCUGGUCUUGCAAGGGAUGGUUUAUACUGAGUACACCUGGGAAGUAUUUGGCUACUGUCAGGAGCUGGAGUUCUCCUUGUAUUACCUUCUUCUGCCCUAUCUGCUGCUAGUUGUAAACCUGUUUUUUUUCACCCUGACUUGUGUAACCAAUCCUGGUAAGUUGAGGCUCUUAGCAUACAGCAUGGUGACAGCUCCACUGUCUUACUAAUAGUGCUGCAAACAAGG